rnacentral:rRNA from 1 species
CCAGACUCCUACGGGAGGCAGCAGUGGGGAAUAUUGCACAAUGGGGGAAACCCUGAUGCAGCGACGCCGCGUGAGUGAAGAAGUAUUUCGGGAUGUAAAGCUCUAUAAGCAGGGAAGAAAAUGACGGUACCUGACUAAGAAGCCCCGGCUAACUACGUGCCAGCAGCCGCGGUAAUACGUAGGGGGCAAGCGUUAUCCGGAUUUACUGGGUGUAAAGGGAGCGUAGACGGCAGAGCAAGUCUGAAGUGAAAGCCCGGGGCCCAACCCCGGGACUGCUCUUGGAACUGCGCGGCUGGAGUGCAGGAGGGGCAGGCGGAAUUCCUGGUGUAGCGGUGAAAUGCGUAGAUAUCAGGAGGAACACCGGUGGCGAAGGCGGCCUGCUGGACUGCGACUGACGUUGAGGCCCGAAAGCGUGGGGAGCAACCAGGAUUAGAUACCCUGGUACG